rnacentral:rRNA from 1 species
UACAGAGGGUGCGAGCGUUGUUCGGAAUUAUUGGGCGUAAAGCGCUUGUAGGCGGCUUUUGCAAGUCGGGUGUGAAAAGCCCCUCAGCUCAACUGAGGAAGUGCGCCCGAAACUGCAGAGCUUGAGUACCGGAGAGGGUGGCGGAAUUCCCCCAAGUAGAGGUGAAAUUCGUAGAUAUGGGGGAGGAACACCGGUGGCGAAGGCGGCCACCUGGACGGUCACUGACGCUGAGACGCGAAAGCGUGGGGAGCAAACAGG